UGGGGAAUAUUGGACAAUGGGGGCAACCCUGAUCCAGCAAUGCCGCGUGUGUGAAGAAGGUUUUCGGAUUGUAAAGCACUUUCGACGGGGACGAUGAUGACGGUACCCGUAGAAGAAGCCCCGGCUAACUUCGUGCCAGCAGCCGCGGUAAUACGAAGGGGGCUAGCGUUGCUCGGAAUGACUGGGCGUAAAGGGCGUGUAGGCGGUUUGUACAGUCAGAUGUGAAAAUCCCCGGGCUUAAC
rnacentral:rRNA from 1 species